UAGUGAAAUUGGGGAUCAAAUCUCUAAAAUCUAGAUUCAACCUUCGUGUAGGCCUAAAAUUGCAGACCCUCUACUUCGCAUGCACGCCAGGCAACACAGGAAAGUGGGAUGAAUCUCCUGAUCAAAGCAUCUUCACAAGGCAACCAAAUGAGGAAGGAGAGCUACCAGGUGUGUCACCUCACACCAGUAAGGGGAUGCCCAAGAUGGGCCCAUGCCA
rnacentral:lncRNA from 1 species